AUGAACGCUGGCGGCGUGCCUAAUACAUGCAAGUCGAGCGAACAGACGAGGAGCUUGCUCCUCUGACGUUAGCGGCGGACGGGUGAGUAACACGUGGAUAACCUACCUAUAAGACUGGGAUAACUUCGGGAAACCGGAGCUAAUACCGGAUAAUAUAUUAAACCGCAUGGUUCAAUAGUGAAAGACGGUUUUGCUUUCACUUAUAGAUGGAUCCGCGCCGCAUUAGCUAGUUGGUAAGGUAACGGCUUACCAAGGCAACGAUGCGUAGCCGACCUGAGAGGGUGAUCGGCCACACUGGAACUGAGACACGGUCCAGACUCCUACGGGAGGCAGCAGUAGGGAAUCUUCCGCAAUGGGCGAAAGCCAGACGGAGCAACGCCGCGUGAGUGAUGAAGGUCUUCGGAUCGUAAAACUCUGUUAUUAGGGAAGAACAAAUGUGUAAGUAACUAUGCACGUCUUGACGGUACCUAAUCAGAAAGCCACGGCUAACUACGUG
rnacentral:rRNA from 1 species